AUGGAGAGAUUUCCCCAAGAGAAUACAGUUAUAGGCCAGUAUCUUUGAACAGCUCCUAACAUUAAACAGUGAUGGAUCUUUGAAUGUAAAGUCCUCUGGAUCUUCUGUGUGUAGCUGCAUAUUCUGGGUUAGGCCUGUGACAGAGAUACAGCAAUAGCACAUCAGGAUAAAAGCUGUGGCCAGAGCCAUGAAGACUAGUAUCUGCAUUUUCAAGGGCUCUUGGGAGAAAUGUGUCCUCUGCAAGCUCCACUUCCAAAAAAUUGACAAUCUCAUUCCUAGAGCCCACUGGGGAAGAGCCAUGUCAUUCUGUGGUAUGUUCGGGAGACUUGGAGGUGUACCUGGCAAUGAAUGCCUUGUAGUUUGCUAGCCUAAGCCUGUAGGGUCAUUAUAUCCUAUUGCUAGGGUCCUUAAGGCAAUCGGGCUCGUCCUAUGGAGAACUGCAACUACAAUUUUCAUAUUUUCAUUUCUGAGGCAACAGAAACAAUGAGUGAAAGUAGAACUAACAGGAGGUGGUGGCCUUCUAGAAGGAGUCUGGUGGGUUCAUAAGAAAGGAGAUCUGGGAAGAGCUGACCAGGGCAAAAAACACACGAAGCUGUGGAGGUGCUUCUCCGUAUAUCAUAUUGCUCUUUUAAUUGACUGAGAAAUGCCCUGAAGUCAUAUGUGUCCUGAAGAUGGAGAGGAACCUCUGGAGACAGAGAAUUGACCAGAUGAUGGAGAGGGAAGCUCUGUCCUGCAGUCUGGGGAAAAAAAGCUUUUCUAUCCUGAUAUGGACAAGGCCAGUGAACCUGAGCUCUGGAAAAGUUCUUAAGAUUUAUCCAUUGUGAACUAAUACAUUUUAAGGUAAGACAGAACUUUGAGACUUUUGUUUUCUUUCAAAACUAUUGAAGCAGUCUAGAAACAAGUAUUACAAUCUAGAAAAACAGUAUCAACAACAUAACUUCACUCAGAAGGUGAUGUAAGCAAAUGCCAGUGUAAGAAAAACAUCAAUUGCAACUAAAUGUAUUUAUGUGGGAGAGAACUGUGGUAAUGGGGGUGGGAAGAGAGCUCAAAUCCUGGCCCUGUAUCCAUUCCUGGAUUUAAGACAGAUUUACCAAUUUUGUCAUAACAACAAUAGCCCUGUUCAGGGCACCAUAUACCUGUCUGGGAUAGAAACUGUACAGGUUCAGACUUCCAAGAGUACACAGCCCCUUAAAAACAUUAUAAAUGCAACAAGAAUCAUGUACAUCAUUUUAUUACAAAAUUGUUAAAAAAAAGUAAUACAAUGCAAAUAUACUACAAAAUAUAAGAUCAGCUAUUAAGCUACCUUCUUUGUUUUACUUUGCUAAAAAGAAACACUUGGCUAUCAGUCACUGAAUUUCAACAAAACCAUUAAAUAUGCAGAAACAUUCCACAACU